CGUGGCCUAGUGGUUAAGUCACCAGGCUAAGGACCCGGGGGUCGCAGGUUCA
rnacentral:tRNA from 1 species